ACCUCGAUCCCAAGCACCAAGGAGCCGACGAUUUGGAUCAAGACCUACAUCCCAAGCACCAAGGUGCCUGGUUGAUAUGGAUCGCGAUCCCGAUCCGGAGCUCCAGGGCGCCGAGGAUUUCGAUCACGAUCCCGAUCUGAAGCACCGAGUAGCCGAGGAUAUGGAUCAAGACAUCGGUCCGAAGCGACAAGGAGGCAAGGAUUUGGGUCACCACUCCGAUCAAAGGCACCAAGGCGUCGAGGGAUUGGAUCGAGAUCCCGAUCCCAAUCAUGAUGUUGGCUAUGUAGUAUCCUGUUUUCCACACCGUUCAGGGCAUUUUGGGGGUCGUAUCGGCUUUUAGUUGCUUGCUUGGCGUUAGUGCCAAGGGAGUGGCUGGAAGCUAGGUCGUCCUCUGGAAUGCUUGUUGUAAAGGUGUAUGAGUUGUGUUUGGCUUGUUACGGGUGUUUGUUGGCUGCUUGUGCAGGAACUUUCAUGCGUCCAAGCCUCUUCAGUUGUGCUACAAGGCCUUGUUUGUCUUGUGCAUACGGUGGGUUUCCUGUGUUGCAUACCUAAUCAAGGGCAUCGUAUGGCUUGAUCGAAGUAAAUAUUCGUAAUGCGCCGCUUGCGGCGUUGCACGAACCUCGAAGCGGCCUCUGUGGCCCAUGUUGUCUUUGCUCACGCAUGGAUGGCAUGGCCCUUGGAGCGUCGCUUGGUCUCUUGGAUACGGAACCUGAUGAUGUGGGCGGUAGGGUCUUGGAUGAUUCUACCUUCGC
rnacentral:misc_RNA from 1 species